AUACAUGCAAGUCGAACGGCAAGAGUUCUAGCAAUAGAAUUCCUAGAGUGGCGAACGGGUGCGUAACGCGUAUGCAACCUACCCUAUACAGGGGGAUAGCCCGGAGAAAUCUGGAUUAAUACCCCAUGGCACUGCGAUGAGGCAUUUCGUUGCAGUUAAAGAUUCAUCGGUAUAGGAUGGGCAUGCGUCUGAUUAGCUAGUUGGUGAGGUAAUGGCUCACCAAGGCUACGAUCAGUAGGGGUUCUGAGAGGAAGGUCCCCCACACUGGCACUGAGAUACGGGCCAGACUCCUACGGGAGGCAGCAGUAGGGAAUAUUGGGCAAUGGACGAGAGUCUGACCCAGCCAUGCCGCGUGCAGGAAGACGGCGUUCUGCGUUGUAAACUGCUUUUAUCUGGGAAGAAAAAGUCCAUGCGUGGAAUAUUGCCGGUACCAGAUGAAUAAGCACCGGCUAACUCCGUGCCAGCAGCCGCGGUAAUACGGAGGGUGCAAGCGUUGUCCGGAUUUAUUGGGUUUAAAGGGUGCGUAGGCGGCUGAUUAAGUCAGUGGUGAAAGUUUUGGGCUCAACCCAGAAAUUGCCAUUGAUACUGGUCGGCUUGAGUAUUGGAGGGGUACAUGGAAUUGAUGGUGUAGCGGUGAAAUGCAUAGAUACCAUCAGGAACACCGAUAGCGAAGGCAUUGUACUGGCCAAUAACUGACGCUGAUGCACGAAAGCAUGGGUAGCGAACAGGAUUAGAUACCCUGGUAGUCCAUGCCGUAAACGAUGAUUACUCGCUGUUAUGCUCUAGUAGUGUAGCGGCCAAGCGAAAGCGUUAAGUAAUCCACCUGGGGAGUACGCUCGCAAGAGUGAAACUCAAUGGAAUUGACGG
rnacentral:rRNA from 1 species